UGUAGCAUCAUCAUAUAGUUGGGCAGCACCACUGGGUUGGAAGGGUCCUUACAGAUCACUGAACCACAGUGCCAUUGUGUUGGAAGGGUCCUUACAGCACCAUUAGGUUGGAAGGGUCCUUACAGAUCACUGAACCACAGCAUGGUUGGGUUGAAAGGGUCCUUACAGCUCCAUUGGGUCAGAAGGGUCCUUACAGCUCCAUUGGGUUGGAAGGGUCCUUACAGCACUGUUGGGUUAGAAGGGUCCUUACAGAUCACUGAACCACAGCAUGGUUGGGUUGGAAGGGUCCUUACAGCACUGUUGAGUUGGAAGGGUCCUUACAGCUCCAUUGGGUUGGAAGGGUCCUUACAGAUCACUGAACCACAGUGCCAUUGGGUCAGAAGGGUCCUUACAGAUCACUGGGUUAGAAGGGUCCUUACAGAUCACUGAACCACAGCAUGGUUGGGUUGGAAGGGUCCUUACAGCACUGUUGAGUUGGAAGGGUCCUUACAGCUCCAUUGGGUUGGAAGGGUCCUUACAGAUCA
ensembl:lncRNA